rnacentral:rRNA from 1 species
CAGUGGGGUCAUUGCACGUAGUAACGGCGAGUGAAGCGGCAAAAGCUCAGAUUUGAAAUCUGGCACCUUCAGUGUCCGAGUUGUAAUUUGAAGAAGGUAACUUUGGAGUUGGCUCUUGUCUAUGUUCCUUGGAACAGGACGUCACAGAGGGUGAGAAUCCCGUGCGAUGAGAUGCCCAAUUCUAUGUAAAGUGCUUUCGAAGAGUCGAGUUGUUUGGGAAUGCAGCUCUAAGUGGGUGGUAAAUUCCAUCUAAAGCUAAAUAUUGGCGAGAGACCGAUAGCGAACAAGUACAGUGAUGGAAAGAUGAAAAGAACUUUGAAAAGAGAGUGAAAAAGUACGUGAAAUUGUUGAAAGGGAAGGGCUUGAGAUCAGACUUGGUAUUUUGCGAUCCUUUCCUUCUUGGUUGGGUUCCUCGCAGCUUACUGGGCCAGCAUCGGUUUGGAUGGUAGGAUAAUGACUAAGGAAUGUGGCUCUACUUCGGUGGAGUGUUAUAGCCUUGGUUGAUACUGCCUGUCUAGACCGAGGACUGCGUCUUUUGACUAGGAUGUUGGCAUAAUGAUCUUAAGCCACCCGUCUUAAAAGGGGAACCCAAAAAAAAUUUGGGGGGGGGGGGGGGGGGGGGGGCCCGGGCGGCCCCGGCAAGGGAGGAGAGGAAGGGGAGAAGUUUGGG